rnacentral:rRNA from 1 species
UACGUAGGGUGCAAGCGUUAAUCGGAAUACUGGGCGUAAAGCGUGCGCAGGCGGUGAUGUAAGACAGAUGUGAAAUCCCCGGGCUCAACCUGGGAACUGCAUUUGUGACUGCAUCGCUGGAGUACGGCAGAGGGGGAUGGAAUUCCGCGUGUAGCAGUGAAAUGCGUAGAUAUGCGGAGGAACACCGAUGGCGAAGGCAAUCCCCUGGGCCCGCUGACUGACGCUCAUGCACGAA